rnacentral:misc_RNA from 1 species
AACAAUUUCAAGCCACAGAGAAACAAGUGAAAUGGAGUCGACUGUUAACCCUUUUUAGCCAUCAGCUGUUACAGAUUCUGAGUAUUCUUCAAGAAACUGUCUGGUUUUAGGGGAAAACUCUGCAAGCACCCUGCUGGAAGAAUCGUUAUUUCUCCUUCCAAUUCCAAUGGCUCUAACCAGCAGGGAACGAAGAUCAAGAAGUGAAAUGAAUGGGUUAGGUAGGAACACAAUGGCUGCUUACCAGCGUCACCAGAACACUGUUUAAGUUCUCAAUUCUUCUCGCGCUUUUCAAACAUCAAGUCAUUACCCGAACUCGUCAGCUAGCACUUUAGGCCUGGGUUGGAUUCUGGGCCUUUAUCAUCAGCUAGUUCUGUAAGUUCUUCCCAGAAUAAGUCAAGAAAUUAUAUUAUUAAAUAAAACAAUAAAUAAUUAGUUGACGUGUGCACAAUUGAAUAUGAAGUUCUAGUGCUGCCUUGGCAUACAAAUUUUGAAGAUCAGGACUUUUCAAAUCUAAGAUAAUGAGGCGAUCCUUAGCAUUGCCAUUCAGUUUCUAUAAUUUCAAACAACCAUAUAAUAUAAUCACCCUAAUUGUCAAUUUAUAGCUUGCUGGUCUAACAUAAGACCAAAAUUCAACUCCAAACUGUCAAAUGCCCUGAGAUAAAUCAUGGUUCAAAGUUAACAAAGACAAGUCAGAAUAGAAAAACCAAUACACUAGCCUUGACUAAGAGAACAUAACAAAGAAUGAAUCAGAAUUCCAUUGUCAAACAAACGGCACUAUAACAGUCCUGCUCUGCAGCUGACUCUUUUUGCAUUCUUAAUUUCUUUCCUAGCAAUCGCACAAGGCAUGAAGACGGUUCUUCUAGCAAGACUCAAAACCAUAUAUUUAUAUAUGGAAGAAAAAUACAAAAAGCAAAAUCGAAAAAAUAAAGACAAAAACAAGCAAAUAAUAGGAAGAUUUUUUAAUGGUUUCAGAGAAGCUGCAAAGGCCAAGCAAAUUAUUGAUUUCUGGUGAUGGCAAGAAUUUUACGCUUGAGGUUUCUCCCAUUUAAGGGGCUUCACUACCUCCCAUGUAAAGUCUGCGUCAUCUCUUCCAAAGUGGCCAUAGGCAGCUGUCUUCAAGAACCUACCAUUGCCACCCCUCUUGAGAUCCAGGUUAAUCGAAAUCAUACCAGGCCUGAAAUCAAA